GAACUUGUAGUUUAGUAAAGAAUGUCUCAUUUACGAUGGGGAGGUUCGAAGUUUU
rnacentral:tRNA from 1 species